GAUCAGCAUGCCACGGUGAAUACGUUCCCGGGUCUUGUACACACCGCCCGUCACACCAUGGGAGUCGGUAACACCCGAAGUCAGUAGUCUAACCGCAAGGAGGGCGCGGCCGAAGGUGGGCUUGAUAAUUGGGGUGAAGUCGUAACAAGGUAAC
rnacentral:rRNA from 1 species